AGUAUUAUUACUAGGUUAAUUGGAAAGGUUAUGUCUAACUUUUUAAGAAACUGCCAAAGUGUCUUCCAAAGUGGCUAUUAACAUUUUGCAUUUCUAUCAGCAAU
rnacentral:pre_miRNA from 1 species